CUUCACUUGGUCCGGUCAGUGUAGAUGUGAGAUGGGCUGUGGAAAUUCCUCAACGACUAGCGCAGCUGGAACAGACCCUGCCGAGGCCUCCAAAGAAGUGGCCGAUGAGUCUUCACAAGAUGAAGAAAAAAGGAUGAACUAUGGUGGUGUGUAUGUGGGUCUUCCAGCAGACCUAAGCACUAUGCCUCCUCUCCAGAUUGGAUUGCACAAAGAUGGGUGAAGCAGCUUGAAAACACCUUGCGGUAAAGGUACAACGCCAUUAUCCCCAAUGUCCAAAUCACAAGUCCAUCCUUUGAGUCUCACUGACCCACACGUGUGUGUGAGAAAAGACAAAGAACUCUGAUUGGGUCCAUGGAAUCCAGUGGAACGCCUGGGUAGCCAAUAACCUUCCUUUCUUCGUUUAGACUGAUCUUGGAUCAGUUUUCAAAGUGAGUGACUAUAUGACCCGUGGAGAUGACUGUCCUUGAAUCAGCAUUUCGUCAAAAAAGGCACAAAAUGAUAGAAAAUGAAUGGGAAGGUGUGUGUGUGUCACCCAAACUGCGCAGUAGUUAACAUUUUUUUUGCUAGUCUGCCCCAAUGAAGACAACCCUGGAGUUGGGGUCAAAGGGAAUCAUGGAGUUCAUUGGAGCCAGUCUGAGCUUUCAACUCACUUGAAACCAUGACAAGAAAGAAGACAACCUUCUACUCACACCAAUAUUUCUCGCUGGAUGAGUCAUGUCUGUUUAGACACAACUUUCCAAGUCAGAUUCUCAGUCAAAUCGCUCUGAUAAAUGUCGACCUUCUUUCUGAGAGUUUGAUCACAAAUUAAGGCAAUAGAGAAAGAAAUGGAGUUUACGUUUGAAAGAAUAUCAUCCAUUGUUAUAUAAUUGAUCAAAUGUGUUUGGAGCAGCUGUCUAA